rnacentral:rRNA from 1 species
GGGAAUAUUGCACAAUGGGCGAAAGCCUGAUGCAGCAACGCCGCGUGAGUGAUGAAGGUCUUCGGAUUGUAAAGCUCUGUCUUUUGGGACGAUAAUGACGGUACCAAAGGAGGAAGCCACGGCUAACUACGUGCCAGCAGCCGCGGUAAUACGUAGGUGGCGAGCGUUGUCCGGAUUUACUGGGCGUAAAGGGUGCGUAGGCGGAUGUUUAAGUGAGAUGUGAAAUACCCGGGCUUAACUUGGGUGCUGCAUUUCAAACUGGAUAUCUAGAGUGCAGGAGAGGAGAAUGGAAUUCCUAGUGUAGCGGUGAAAUG